GUGGGGAAUAUUGGACAAUGGGGGGAACCCUGAUCCAGCCAUGCCGCGUGUGUGAAGAAGGCCUUUUGGUUGUAAAGCACUUUAAGCGAGGAGGAGGCUACCGAGAUUAAUACUCUUGGAUAGUGGACGUUACUCGCAGAAUAAGCACCGGCUAACUCUGUGCCAGCAGCCGCGGUAAUACAGAGGGUGCAAGCGUUAAUCGGAUUUACUGGGCGUAAAGCGCGCGUAGGUGGCCAAUUAAGGCAAAUGUGAAAUCCCCGAGCUUAACUUGGGAAUUGCAUUCGAUACUGGUUGGCUAGAGUAUGGGAGAGGAUGGUAGAAUUCCAGGUGUAGCGGUGAAAUGCGUAGAGAUCUGGAGGAAUACCGAUGGCGAAGGCAGCCAUCUGGCCUAAUACUGACACUGAGGUGCGAAAGCAUGGGGAGCAAACAGGAUUAGAAACCCGAGUAGUCC
rnacentral:rRNA from 1 species